rnacentral:rRNA from 1 species
GACGAACGCUGGCGGCGUGCCUAACACAUGCAAGUCGAACGGGACUGAUUGGAAAGCGGCUUCGGCCAAUGGAAGAUCAGUUUAGUGGCGAACGGGUGAGUAACACGUGAGGAACCUGCCUUUCAGUGGGGGACAACAGUUGGAAACGACUGCUAAUACCGCAUAACACUUUAGUACCGCAUGGUACAGAAGUCAAAGCUUUAUGCGCUGAGAGAUGGUCUCGCGUCUGAUUAGCUAGAUGGCGGGGUAACGGCCCACCAUGGCGACGAUCAGUAGCCGGUCUGAGAGGAUGAACGGCCACAUUGGGACUGAGAUACGGCCCAGACUCCUACGGGAGGCAGCAGUGGGGAAUAUUGCACAAUGGGGGAAACCCUGAUGCAGCAACGCCGCGUGAGUGAAGAAGUAUUUCGGUAUGUAAAGCUCUAUCAGCAGGGAAGAAAAUGACGGUACCUGACUAAGAAGCUCCGGCUAAAUACGUAGCCAG